rnacentral:rRNA from 1 species
AACGAACGCUGGCGGCAUGCCUAACACAUGCAAGUCGAACGAAGUCUUCGGACUUAGUGGCGCACGGGUGCGUAACGCGUGGGAAUCUGUCCCUUGGGUGCGGAAUAACUUCUCGAAAGGGAUGCUAAUACCGCAUAAUGUCGUAAGACCAAAGAUUUAUCGCCCAAAGGAUGAGCCCGCGUAAGAUUAGCUAGUUGGUGGGGUAAAAGCCUACCAAGGCGACGAUCUUUAGCUGGUCUGAGAGGAUGAUCAGCCACACUGGGACUGAGACACGGCCCAGACUCCUACGGGAGGCAACAGUGGGAAUAUUGGAACAAUGGGACGAAAGCCUGAUCCAGCAAUGCCGCGUGAGUGAUGAA